rnacentral:rRNA from 1 species
UGGGGAUUAUUGGACAAUGGGCGAAAGCAUGAUCCAGCCAUGCCGCGUGUGUGAAGAAGGUCUUCGGUUUGUAAAGUAUUUUAAGUUGGGAGGAAGGGCAGUAAGCGAAUACCUUGCUGUUUUGACGUUACCGACAGAAUAAGCACCGGCUAACUCUGUGCCAGCAGCCGCGGUAAUACAGAGGGUGCAAGCGUUAAUCGGAAUUACUGGUCGUAAAGCGCGCGUAGGUGGUUCGUUAAGUUGAAUGUGAAAGCCCCGGGCUCAACCAGGGAACUGCAUCCAAAACAGGCGAGCAAGAGUAGGGCAGAGGGUGGUGGAAUUUCCUGUGGAGCGGUGAAAUGCGUAGAUAUAGGAAGGAACAACAGUGGCGAAGGAGACCACCUGGGCUCAUACUGACACUGAGGUGCGAAAGCGUGGGGGGCAAACAAG